rnacentral:rRNA from 1 species
GUGAGGAAUUUUCCGCAAUGGGCGAAAGCCUGACGGAGCAAUGCCGCGUGAAGGAUGAAGGCCUAUGGGUUGUAAACUUCUUUUCUCAGAAAAGAAUUAUGACGGUAUCUGAGGAAUAAGCAUCGGCUAACUCUGUGCCAGCAGCCGCGGUAAGACAGAGGAUGCAAGCGUUAUCCGGAAUGAUUGGGCGUAAAGCGUCUGUAGGUUGUUUAAAAAGUAUUCUGUCAAAGAUUAGGGCUUAACCCUAGAUAGGCAGAAUAAACUUUUAAGAUAGAGUUUGGUAGAGGCAGAGGGAAUUCCCGGUGGAGCGGUGAAAUGCGUAGAUAUCGGGAGGAACACCAAAGGCGAAGGCACUCUGCUGGGCCAAUACUAACACUGAGAGACGAAAGCGAGGGGAGCAAAUGGGAUUAGAUACCCUUGUAGUCC